UUUCUUCACUCUCCUUUUAAGGCUUCAAGCUUUAGUUUGAUUUAGCUUGAAGCCUUUAGAGGAGAGUGAAAAA
rnacentral:pre_miRNA from 1 species